GAGAGGGUGUCUUUGUGUCUGUCGCGAAGAGGGUGAUGACACCGGUUUUUGACCUGAGUCAACCGCUACGGAUAAGGUUUUGAUGGCCGAUGAAGGAGAGAGAAAAGGGUCGUUGAUGACUUCGCGUUGACCAAGACUAGCCGUGGGAAGCCAGGGUUCUAGAAGCCAAUAGAAGACCGGAGGAGGUCCGAUCCGAAGCGAAAUCGACUCCACCAAAUAAGGAAAAGUGUUGACGUGUACCUUUAUUAGUUUUCAAUUCAUUUGUAAUAGUUCAUGUCGUAAUCGACUAGGAUUUUAGCCUCCUCGAGGGUAUAAAUAUAAACCCAUGAACCUUGUAACAAUAAUCAUCAAUGAAUCAAUACAACCUUUCGGCGCCACACCGCAAAAAUCCUAGGAGUAGGAGUAGAGUAGAUUCGACGAGUCCCUUGCUGCGCGCACAACUGCAUUGGCUUCGAUCUCAGGUGAGCUUGUAAGUACCGUCACCCGAUUAUUAUGUUAUCUAUAUCAGAACUUUCUAGGCAUCAUCCAAUAUUCUGAUCUUUUAUGAUGUGGCUAGUCAUCGAGUUAUCUUAGAUUGCAAGUAGAACUUUGUAGGAUUUGUCCAAUAUUUUGCUUGUCAUCGAUGUUGUUCAUAGUUAUCGAGUCAUUUGGCUUUAUUAAGUUGCAUCGUAUCGAUCUCUUAGUCUUAUCAAGCGCUCAUAGUGAUUGAACAGCUUAGAUCUAGUUAGGUUGUCUUCAUUGGCUCCUGACCUUAUUUAAACGCUCACCAGUUAUCUGAUCCUUAAAGUAUGCUAGGACCGAUAGAUCUUUACCCCU
rnacentral:lncRNA from 1 species